rnacentral:rRNA from 1 species
GUAGGGAAUAUUGCGCAAUGGGGGAAACCCUGACGCAGCGACGCCGCGGGAGUGAUGAAGGCCUUAGGGUCGUAAAGCUCUGUUGAAUGGGAAGAAAAAAAUGACGGUACCAUUCGAGGAAGGACCGGCUAACUUCGUGCCAGCAGCCGCGGUAAUACGAGGGGUCCUAGCGUUGUUCGGAAUCAUUGGGCGUAAAGGGUGUGUAGGUGGCCAUGUAAGUCAGGUGUGAAAGCCCCGGGCUCAACCCGGGAAGUGCACUUGAUACUGCGUGGCUUGAGUACCGAAGAGGGUAGUGGAAUUCCAGGUGUAGUGGUGAAAUACGUAGAUAUCUGGAGGAACACCGGAGGCGAAGGCGGCUACCUGGUCGAGUACUGACACUGAGACACGAAAGCAUGGGGAUCAAACAGGAUUAGAUACCCCAGUAGUCC